AAUAUGUUUAAAAACUUGUGUCUUGCAUUAGCUGUUGGGAUAUAAACAUUGGGUUUAAGUAAAUAAUCCGCAUUCAAAGCUAAGAUCACUCAAACAACACAUACGACUUUCUUUACUUACUUUAUUCUUAACCUCAUAACAAAUUCAACUGAAGUAUAUCGUUUUCCCCGGUAAACAUUAAUUCUCCUAUUAGUCUUGAUCGACUGUUCAAUAUGAGUAGAAAAUGAAGCCUCUGUUUCGGCAGUGUCUCUCCAAAGAGAAAACUGUUAACGAACCAACACUAUAAAUAUCACCUUCUUCUUCACUGCUUGCAAUUAGGGUUCAUAAUCUCGCUACCAGUUAAUCUCUUUCGCUUCUAAACUCAAAACGAAUUUCAAUUCAAAGAUUGUGCACUUGCGAACUGUCAUUGCGGAAGAAUUGGAACAAACGAAUACGAUUAUGGAAUUUUUUUACGGUAGUAGUAAUGAUUCCUUCGACGGUGAUGUUUCGCCCAUCAUAGGCCGAAGCCGGUUCUAUCAUGGAUCAAAAUCUCAGAUCCUCGAUCCUUACGCUUCUUCUGAUAGUACCGGUUCCAAUAUAGUCUCUCCGCUAGCCCGGUACCUUUGUCCAACCUCGCCGGUGCCGUUUACGAUUGAUUCCCCGAAACGUCGUUCUCUGAACAGCGGAAGCAGAAGCGGUUCCGCCGCCGGCGGCAUUGUUUCACGUUCGCCGCUAGCUUCGAUUGAGAAUAUUGAGAUUCCGCAGGUGUUUAGAAAUCCGGUGAAGGUUGAAGAGGAUGUGGUAGUCAUGGACGGUAUUCUCGUUGAGCCGAAACAUGGUGUGAGAGGUAAAUCGUCGCCGUCGACGUCAGAUUCAGGUGGACGGUUGACAUCGGGAAGUGAAAAUAGCUUUCAUAAAUCGGAAACUUGUCGGUGGUGGGAGGAUUUCGGUACUUGUCGAUUUGGUUCCAAAUGCCGGUUUGUGCACGGGAAAGAGGAUUUACGCCCAACUGCUUUCGCCAACAGGAAUCAAUCUGAGGCACUGUACAGCAGGUCAUACAGUUCGGGAUCAAGUUCGUAUGGACCAAGGGGCCGAUCUGUUCAUCACCAGGUUCACUCAGCCGCGCCGACUCCUACAGAAGCAGCAGCUGCAGCAAUGGCUACACCAACUACUACUAGUAAUGUUAAAAAGGGCGACAAAGAGCCCUCAAGCAGCGAAAGUAGCACCACUUCCAUCUCCACCAUUGCUAUCUCUGGCACUGAUUGGUCUCCCCUGGAUGAUAAUAUCGAGGUUACCUUGCCUUCUUCUGGUGAAAAAUGCGUUUCAAGGGAUGAUGUUGAUGCUCAUAUAUGGACUGUUCUCUAUGGUCCUUCUGGAAGGAAGAGAUUGCCGGUAUUCGCCGACUUUGAUGAGGAAGAGUAGAUAUUCCAUAUUUGACAAAUCUAUGUUCGAGCCAUCAACUCCCAAUAAGGAAAAAGAGUCAAUUCAAUAAUUCCACCACUAUUGAUCAAGACUUGUCUUGCUAAAGCAUUUAUGUUCAUCGUGUCGCGAAAAUGAGGAAGGAGAAGCUUAUGAAUGGGGUGAAGCACACUUAGUUGUCUAUUGGUUGCAAUCACAAACGGCUCGAUCACUGCAUGUGUAUUCAACCUGAGAAAAGGAUUCAGUCCCGCUAGCAUUUCUCUUCCGAAUUCGUCAUCCGUCCUCCAGGCAGUUUUAUCCUCUACGUACAAUAUUUUGGAUUACCAAAAAGCGAAGGCUUGAAAAAUAAUAUGUGAGCAUGUGAUUUUGGUUGUGGAGAAAUUCAGGUAAGUACCUUGGAUAACUUGAGGAGUUGGGUACUUGAAUAGUCCUUCACCAUCAGUUUGAAGAAGUUCUCUUAGUAUCUCCAAAGGAAUACCAUCAGUAAUGGCUUUCAACAAAGGGCCUUGAGGCAAUUUGAUUCCUCCUUCAUAGAGUUUGAGUACAUCCGCGAAGCUAUCAAAUUCAUUAGGUGUGCUAUCAAAUAAAGCCUUAAACUCGGGGAGGAGCAACUGAACGAUGGAUUUCAAAGCAAAUGUCAAGAAGUCUGACAACUUCACAUGUCCAAAUCGCUCGUCCCUUGGCACAUAUAUGUCUAAGCUCAUAAGCAAUGGAAUCCUGCUCUCGGUAUUAGGAUCUGCAGACAGUAAAGUACAAAUGCCAAGGCUAUUAUACUUGUUCAAUUGCAGAGAAGGAAAACUUGUUGUGAAUGUCUUAACCUGUUUUGGUUGGUUCGCGUCCUGUCCUGCCUCUACGAGGAUAUGGAUACUCGGAGGAUCCUCCAAGGACAGGCCUGGCAUACUCUUCACCAUUGUCUGGAUCACCCAAGUCAUUGUAAUAAGCAUAGUCAUAAACCCUGUCCCAUUCCUCUAGCUUUCCAGUUCCAUCUCCCCUUAAGGUUACUAGCUCAUUUUCUCUGUAUUUUCGUAACGCUUCUGGUGUUUCACUUGGGAGAUAAGCCUGAAUCAACCAUUGAAACAAUGCAGAGUUAUGUUCUUAAAACGCUUAAAAAAGUCAUACAUUGUGAUUGAAUGAAUGAAUAUCAUACCUGAUUCGCGAAGAAAAUGCGGUCAGACUUGUAUUUA